rnacentral:rRNA from 1 species
UACCCGCUGAACUUAAGCAUAUCAAUAAGCGGAGGAAAAGAAACCAACAGGGAUUGCCUU